UACGGGGGGGGCAAGCGUUAAUCGGAAUUACUGGGCGUAAAGCGUGCGCAGGCGGUUUUGUAAGUCUGUCGUGAAAGCCCCGGGCUCAACCUGGGAAUUGCGAUGGAGACUGCAAGGCUUGAAUCUGGCAGAGGGGGGUAGAAUUCCACGUGUAGCAGUGAAAUGCGUAGAGAUGUGGAGGAACACCGAUGGCGAAGGCAGCCCCCUGGGUCAAGAUUGACGCUCAUGCACGAAAGCGUGGGGAGCAAACAGG
rnacentral:rRNA from 1 species